rnacentral:rRNA from 1 species
AUGACGGGCCAGGAGGCCCUGGACCGGACGCGCCUGGACCGCGAGGCCCCGGACCGGGCGGGCGCUCGAGGUUCCCGCGUAGCCUCGGGCUUCUUGAUGUUCUUGGAGUUAGCGGCGGCGGAGGAGGGGACGCUGGAGGGGGGAGGUUCCGCCGCAGCCUCGGGCUUCUUGAGGUUCUUGGGGGUGGCGGUGGUGGUGGAGGAGGAGGAGUUGAGGGCAGCUCAGGCGGCGGUGGUGUCACUCGUCCGCAAGAUUGCGAGAGCUCCGCGGAGUUGCAAGAUUCGACUGUGGAUGUGGUGGCCAGCCAUGAAUUUCCUCAAGAGGCAGAAGCUUACUCGAGUGAAAGAUGUUCAGGGUGACUGGGAGACCUCAAUGAGACUGAUGCACAACCUGGAUAUUCCUGAGGGAGAUAGCUCCGAGGUUGCAGGAGGAGUUGAGGUCUGCUCAAGCGGUGGUGGUGGCACCGGCCCGCAAGAUCCUGAGAGCUCCGCCAAGCUGCAAGAUUCGACUGUGGAUGGUGUGCUGGCCAGAUACAGCCAUGAAUUUCCUCAAGAGGCAGAAGCUUACUCGAGUCAAAGAUGUGAUUGGAUUGAGCUAUUUCUUCUGACAGAAUGUAUUUCACAGUUUCAGUUUAACUGGGAGAACUCAGUGAGAUUGAUGCAGAGUCUGGAUUUUCCUGAGGGAGAUAACUCUGAGGUUGCAGGAGGAGUUAAGGGCUGCUCAAGCGGUGGUGGUGGUGGCACUGGCCCGCAAGAUCCUGAAAGCUCCUUCGAGCUGCAAGAUUCGAUUUCAGAUGAUAAUCUGGUGUCCAGAUACAGCUGCUUGACAAGUACCAGUGUCAAAUCCUUGUUGCAACAUGAUGGUCCUGAAGAGGCAGAAGUUUACUCGAGUCAAAGUUGUGAUUGGAUUGAGCUUCUGGCAGAAUGUAUUUCACAGGGUAACUGGGAGAAGACAUGUAUGAGGCUGGUUCACCAUCUGGGUAGUCCUGAGGGUGAUAGCUCAGAGGUUCUUAGUGCUUGUGACAGUUCUGCAAAAGAGAGAGCUGGUGACCACCUUUCCCCCCCAAGCGUACGAGGGGAUGAUGAUCUGCUGGAGUUUCCAGUUCUUGCUCUACUGCUGACACAGCUGCGUGGCGCCGGUGUCUUCGGCUACGUCGACGGCACUCAGCCGGAGCCGGCGAGACUCCUCGUCACCACCAAGGAAGGCAAGGAGGUGUCAUCGCCCAACCCUCUCCACCCAAUCUGGGUCAGGGAGGAUCAGCAGGUUCUUGGAUACCUGCUGAACAAUCUGACACGCGAGGUGCUUCUCACGGUGACCACGGUCACCACCGCGGGCGCGCUCUGGACGACGCUCGCCGGCAUGUUUUCCUCGCAGUCCGCCAGCCGCAUCAACAACAUCCGAACCUCCCUCAUCAACGCGCAGAAGGGCAACCUCUCCGUCGCCUCCUACUUCGCCGCCAUGCGCGGCUACGCCGACGUACUCGCAGCCGCGGGCAAGGCGAUCCCCGACGACGAACUGGCGUCCUACAUCAUCCACGGGCUCGACGCCGACUAUCAGCCCCUCGUAUCUGCCCUAGACGCCCGCGUGACCCAGGUAACCCUUGAUGAGCUCUUCGCCAUGCUGUCAAAUUUCGAUCAACGCAUGGUACAGUUCCAAGGAUCCGGUGGCGGCGGCUUCAAGUCGUCCGCAAACAUGGCCACUCGUGGACGGGGUGGCGGCUCCCGAUCGCGUGGCUCCUCUCGCACCAAAGGCAGGUUCGGUGGCGGCAACCGUGGCUCCGUGCCACCUCAAUCCGGAGGCCGUGGUCGCCGUGGCCGCGGCACUGGUGGUGGCGGCAGAACCCGUCCCGAUGCUCCCCGGUGUCAGAUCUGCGGCAAGCCUAGACACACAGCGAAGGACUGCUGGUACAGUGCGUCGCUGAAGGCAACCGGAUUCUUCGGCCUAGAUCCGUUGGCCAGCAUGUUCUACCAGUCGAGCUUCUGGUGGCCGGAGCAUACGAAGGCGUGGCCAUAA